AUGAAAAUGAUAGAGGUCUGUGGAUUAAGAAAAUGGCCAAGGCCAAUCGGAUGGGUGUGACUACUCUGCAACAGAGGGUACCCAUUUUGGCGGGUGCUGGGUUUUGUGCAGUUCAUUCGGUUCCUCAUUUUUCCAAGACACUGACGAGGUGGAACAGUGCGAGGGGCAGGAGUAUAACUCCUCGUCGCCUGCUUCUAAGCCUUGGGGCUUCAUUUUGGGCUCAGCUCAUGAGUAUGGCUGGUAACGUUGGCGGUAGAUUCUUCAUUGCCUCUGCAAGACAGCCGGGUCCUUCUCCCGUUGAACAGGCAUUAAAGAAUGUGGAAUGGCCAGAGCAAUUCCCCUUCAGGGAGGAGGAUUUUCAGCGCUUUGAUGAGUCACGAGAUUCAAUAUUCUAUGAGACUCCGCGCUUUGUGACACAUAUUGAUGACCCAGCCAUUGCUGCACUUACUAGGUAUUAUUCAAAGGUGUUCCCUCCAAGUAACACUCCAGGAGUGUGUCUCCUAGAUAUGUGUAGUAGUUGGGUCAGCCAUUUUCCUGCCGGAUACAAGCAAGAUAGGGUAGUUGGAUUAGGCAUGAACGAAGAAGAGCUUAAGCGGAAUCUGGUUCUAACAGAGUAUGUUGUGCAAGACCUAAACACAAACCCUAAACUUCCAUUUGAUGAUGAUUCCUUUGAUAUCAUUACUAAUGUGGUCAGCGUCGACUAUCUAACAAAGCCUCUUGAUGUCUUUAAGGAGGUGUGUCGAGUUCUCAAACCAGGUGGUUUGGCCUUAAUGAGCUUCUCCAACCGCUGCUUUUGGACUAAAGCAAUCUCAAUAUGGACAUCUACUGGUGAUGCUGAUCAUGCUAUGAUUGUUGGCUCAUACUUCCAUUACGCUGGUGGUUUUGAACCUCCUCAGGCUGUGGAUAUAUCUCCCAACCCUGGGCGCUCAGACCCCAUGUACAUUGUAUAUUCCAGGAAGUUACCUUCAGCUUGAGCUAAAAAGUGGCAUCAAACUUUUGGCGCUGAAGGGUACUUGAAGCUCACUCUCUCUCUCUCCUCUCAUUCUCUCUCCCUCUCUCCUCGAUUUCAUGACGGAUUUUUGCCCGAUCGAAAAUCCGAAGAUACCACUGGACUCCAUUCGCCGCUGUCGUCAUUUCUACCGGAGCGGAUCGGUGGUAGGAGCGACGUAAGCGUAUUCCCUGGGGAGUUGAAUUUCGGGCGCUAAGGGCGUAGGAUUUGGGUCCUAAGGAAUUCAUCAAUAGCCAGGAGCUCCUGAGAGACUGGCGGGUCAGGGCCGCCGUUGAGCUAGUGAGAUUACCCUGUGAGAAGGGUAAGAUUUUGUACUAGGGUUAGAAUUAUUUUGUGUUUGACCCUAGAGAUAUUUGGAUGUAUGUGAGGAUGUAUAGAAUGCUCUGGUAUUAUGUUUUAUGAUUGGAUGUUUGAGAUUUUAUGUUUACUGCUGCUAGGUUUUCCGCUGUGUAUGACAGGUGUCCCCGCUACCCACGGGUUCGGGUUGACCAUUUUAUUUAUUAUGUGAUAUUUUAUGUUAAGAAAUUGAGGGACGUUACAGCUUGGGGC